GGAGACUUGAGAAAACUGUCUUUCUCAUCUAGAAAGCUGGGGACUAAGGUGUGAACUGAGAAGAUUGGGAUGGUGAUGGAGUGAUGUGAACAUUGCGCCCAGUACGUGACCUGGGGACGUCUACUCUGCAGAAGACUCCUUUCUCCCAAGCGUACCUGAAAGAACUCCAAAGAAAAUUACAUGAAGAUAUCGCUAUACCUUAAAAAAUGUUAGAGGUCCGCACUCCUCCUGGGUGAGCUGACUGCCCUGUCACUCUUCACCACGUGCCGAGGAAAUGCCACCUCCAUCUCCGGCCAGCAUCUCUGUCUGAAUUCCG